UACGAAGGGGGCUAGCGUUGUUCGGAAUCACUGGGCGUAAAGGGUGCGUAGGCGGGUUUUUAAGUCAGGGGUGAAAUCCUGGAGCUCAACUCCAGAACUGCCUUUGAUACUGAGGAUCUUGAGUACGGGAGAGGUGAGUGGAACUGCGAGUGUAGAGGUGAAAUUCGUAGAUAUUCGCAAGAACACCAGUGGCGAAGGCGGCUCACUGGCCCGUAACUGACGCUGAGGCACGAAAGCGUGGGGAGCAAACAGG
rnacentral:rRNA from 1 species